GCCACCUCUGUUCCCGCCCGCCUUGUCAUCGUGCCUGCUGGGCGGAUUUUCCGGGCUCUGGCACCCAGUCAGCCUGUGAGUGCGGAGUCGCCCCCAGCUUGCCACCAGGGAAGUCAGUAGACCAGAUUUCUCUGUUUUCAUAACUGAUACUUAAGAGGCAUUUCUGGCACUACCCCUGACACACACUUGUUUUUCACCUCUCAUGACCAUGAAAUCCUAAAACAAAGGUCUACUGAGUAUCUGUUUCUGUGCUGUAGCUCCUUGAAGGACCAAACAUCAUGGUACUAUCUAAACGGCUUGCCCCAAACCCAAUUUUUAUCCCCUUGGGUAGUAAUGUUCUUGGAUGAAGAUCCAUGCUCAAGGUAAUUAGUUCUGUGAAAGAAUGCAUAAAAUCGUGUUUCAUAUGAUUAGAAAAAAGGGGGGUCAUUUAGCCAGGUGGAGGUGGUGGCAUACACCUUUAAUCCCAGGAGGCAGAAACAUGCACAUCUCCGAGUUCAAGGCCAACCUCAUCUACAGAAAGAGUUCCAGGGCAGCCAGGGCUACACAGAAAGACCCUGUCUUGAAAAAACAAAACAGGUUACUUUUACAUACAUAUCUAUCAGACAACUAUAAACCAAAGCUCUCCAUUCUUUUCUAGAUGAUGCUGUCUUCUGUUGGUUACUUCAUAGCACUUCCAUUUUCAAAGAACAUCUUCCUGAGAAUAAACUUGGAAAGUAAUGUGACCACAAAACAUCAUAUUCACAGAGUUCAAAGGCAU
rnacentral:lncRNA from 1 species